GGGUUGUGAGGUUAAGCGACUAAGCGUACACGGUGGAUGCCCUGGCAGUCAGAGGCGAUGAAGGACGUGCUAAUCUGCGAAAAGCGUCGGUAAGGUGAUAUGAACCGUUAUAACCGGCGAUGUCCGAAUGGGGAAACCCAGUGUGAUUCGUCACACUAUCGUUAACUGAAUACAUAGGUUAACGAGGCGAACCGGGGG
rnacentral:rRNA from 1 species